ACGCCCGUCAGCAGAAUGCUGAUAUUUAUUUGGCAAUGGCUCCUGACAGGUGUUGGCUAAACAAAGAGCUGCAGCUGGGUCGAGCUGCUCGUCAAGCGCUUGUACGGCAGUUAGCAAAUUAUUGAUUCUUCAUCGGACCAAGGCCGAUUUGUCCAGGACCAAUUUUCGGAUCUCCUGGGCUUCCUGGAACAAGGACUAGUGAUUGUUUCGAGGAGCUGUCAUGGUGUUGGCUCUUGAUAUUUUAUCGUGAAACGCAGAUUUAAUGAUGACGGCGCGUCGGAACCCAAACGUCAAGAAUCGCCGACGUUCACGGAAGCAGCUACAAUGAGCGGAGAAUCUGAGAGCCAGGUAAUAAGUUUAACAAAAUUGAAAAUAUCUGUGUAUCUACAAUGCCAACAAUAGAGGAAAAACGA